UCCAACCCGGCGGCCACCUCUGUAUCAAGCAAACUAAUGAACACAAAGGACUCGGUAUUUAGGAUUUACACAGAUUGUGGCUUUAAAUCCUCGCUGUGUGACCUUGAGCAAAUUGCCCAACCUCUCGGCGUCAGGUUCCUCAUCCGUAAAGUGACUUGGGAGGAUUAGCGAUAAAGCCUGAAUUGCUUAGAGUUGGUGCCUGGUACAGCGCGAGUUCGCAGCAAUUUUCACCCCCAGCCAGUGGGGCUGGCGCCCGGCCCCCCGGCCCCGCCCCGCGCUCGGCGCGACCAGCACCCGAGAGCAACCCGUCUCCAGCCCCGGUGGGGGAGGCGCCCCGGAGCAGCAGAGCAGCGGACGGGCUCGCGCUCCGAUUUCCUCACCGUACGAAAUGAAAUUCCACAGGGGGAUUCGAAAGGAAAUGAGGCCGGGACGCUCCGUGCUUCUCGGCCCGCCGCCCUUCCUGUCUCGGGGACACGGUUUCUAAAUAAGAACUGUUUGCCUAAGCACUUGCCAGCGUUUUUUUCCUGGAGCUGUUGUAUCUUCCCAGUUCAGCGGAUCCUCUGGAACACAGCUGAGAUUAAUGGUGAUCACAAGAGGAUUCAGUAUGAUUGGAGGUAAAGAAGAAGCAUGCAGGACACUGUUAACACACACACUGUGUCUCACCUGUUAUUAUGGAAGAACAGCAGGACCCUUCGGCUGGUGAUAAAUGACUUCUAGUCACUUACUUGACCAGGGUUGGAGGUGGUAAAACUGUGUAUCACUGUGAGUUCCAUUUUGCCCUGGAUUUUAGACAUCACACCCAGCUUCCAGCCUUUCUUCCUGAUUGAGUCCCUAGCUGGUCUUAGAUGACUUCAGAAACAACACCAGGCAUAGAGGCAACACCUCACACGGAAUAUUUAUGAUAAACUCUUUAUUCUUACUCAUACUGCCCCUGACUGGUAUAUCCCCCCCACAAAAAAAGAUUCAUUGAAUGUUAGUACUUGGAAACUGUUCCUCAACUUUCAGGGAAGCUACAGUAAGCAAAUAUGACUUGUCCAUGUGGCAUGACAAAUGAGCUAUUGGACCAGUUUGCUAACUAUGAUCUUUGACCUAAGUAUGUGUCACAUUCUUCUUUGAUGUGUGUAUAGGCCUGAAAUCAGCCUGUUAGAGCAGAUCCUGUUAUCUUUAGCAAGCAUUUCAUUGAUCCAGGCACUUGGUUAGUGUUUUUCAUAGGUUGUCUUGUCUAAUCCACACUACCCCCAGAGUAGAUAUUAAAUCUGACUUACUUCUCUCCAACUCCACCACUCUGAGCUGUCCAGGUUCCUUCUCCAGCUCUCUCUUUUUAUCACUGAGCAGCAAUCCAAUUUCUCUAUACAAGAGGGAGCUUUUACAACAGACUCCACAGGCUGUGUUCCUUUUUGACUCAAAAGUUAUCAGGUUUUUCUUAUUACAACUGGAGUGAAAUUUAUCAGGCCAGGAAGACCAGGAAGAAGGCUACCUAUUCAGCCACAUUCGGCUUUCUUACCACGUUAAACUGCUGUGUCCUUUUCUCUCCUCCCAAAACAUUCUAAGCUAGCUCCUGGCUAUCUUCUCUGCCUAGAAAGUUCCUUGUAGUCCUUCUCAUAACAGAUGUCUUUGCCUCUGAGAGAUCUUCCUGAACACUCAUGUCUCACCCUUCCCUUUGUCUAUUGACUCCUUAGCACUGUUGUUUUACUUCCUUCAAAAUUGUUCCUCCCCUCCUUCUCAAGAAACUUGCCUGAGGUCCCACAGUAAAUGGCAGGAACAGUAUUCUUACUUGGGUCCAUUUGUCUCUACUGGCAUUACUUUAUCCAUUAUGCCUAUCAUGCCUGUCUUUGCUUUGUUUUCUCCUACAGGUCAUCUCUGAACUCAGUGAAUAUAUCAUAGGAUACUAGAACUGAAUGGAACUUUUAAUGAUUGGCUAUUUCCUUAUAAAGUCAUUACAGUAAAAGUAAAUACUUAACAACUGCUUAUUGAGGCUUCAUAGUGUAUAUUGUUAAGGUAAUUAAAGAUCACUCACUUAUAACAUCCUAGGGAUUUCCAGAUACCUUUUUUUUAAACCUGGUUUUGCUUCAGUAGCUCUUAGGUUUUCAGUUUCAAGAAUUUGAAUGAAGUUGGUUCCAGUGGUACAUGCCUCUAAUUGUAGUACUGAGGGGGCUGAGGUAGGAAGAGCUGGACUAGGGGAGAUCCUGCUUCAGAACAACAACAAAAAGUCUGAAUUACACCCACAGCUAAACAUGGAACACCUGGAACCCAGCGACAGAGAGGGAGGAGUGAUGAGCAAAGGGGUCAAG